CCUACGGGAGGCAGCAGUGGGGAAUAUUGGACAAUGGGCGAAAGCCUGAUCCAGCCAUGCCGCGUGUGUGAAGAAGGCCUUCGGGUUGUAAAGCACUUUCAGUGGGGAAGAAAGCCUUGGGGCUAAUACCCUCGAGGAAGGACAUCACCCACAGAAGAAGCACCGGCUAACUCCGUGCCAGCAGCCGCGGUAAUACGGAGGGUGCGAGCGUUAAUCGGAAUUACUGGGCGUAAAGCGCGCGUAGGCGGUCUGAUAAGCCGGUUGUGAAAGCCCCGGGCUCAACCUGGGAACGGCAUCCGGAACUAUCAGGCUAGAGUGCAGGAGAGGAAGGUAGAAUUCCCGGUGUAGCGGUGAAAUGCGUAGAGAUCGGGAGGAAUACCAGUGGCGAAGGCGGCCUUCUGGACUGACACUGACGCUGAGGUGCGAAAGCGUGGGUAGCAAACAGGAUUAGAUACCCUUGUAGUC
rnacentral:rRNA from 1 species